rnacentral:lncRNA from 1 species
GCAUCUCAAGUUUGUGAAGCUCUUCUAACUUUACUAGUAGAAGUAGGACAGAGGAAAAGGCAUGGAAUAUCUAAUAAAGAUGAAUGAAGCGUAUUCAAGAACGUACUCCUGAUCUGGAGAUUGAUACUUAACCUGUCAUCACAAUGGUAUUAUGUCCCAACAUGAAAUAUCUAAUAAAGAUGAAUGAAGCGUAUUCAAGAACGUACUCCUGAUCUGGAGAUUGAUACUUAACCUGUCACCACAAUGGUAUUAUGUCCCAAUUUCAGUUUACAUGUUCAGUGAAUUAGAAUAUAGAAAAUUAUCCAAUGCUCACCCCUACCCCCCUUUUUAAAUCGGAAAAAAGGGAAGAAAUGUGGUUGGAAAAAGAAGUGUCUGAAUAAGAAAAUUUCUGCAAUAUAUGAUGUGUAUACGCCUUCCCUGGAGUGAUCUGUGCGGCUGUUAGGCAUAUUAGACAAAAGAAUGGUCUUUACUGCAAUAUAUGAUGUGUAUACGCCUUCCCUGGAGUGAUCUGUGCGGCUGUUAGGCAUAUUAGACAAAAGAAUGGUCUUUACGGAUUGGUCGUUAUAUCUCGCCAUCUCCCACCUACCUAGGUUUGAAGUCCUUUUGGAGAUAAGCAACCAUCUUCCCUUUAAGAUAGGGGUUAGGGAGGUGAAAAUUCAAGUGCGAGUCCUUAUACAACGGAGUUGCGGGCUAGGUUUAUAAAAAAGACUUCUGAAACUUAUAGUCUUAAAAGCUUAAGGGAUAAAAGUUGGGGAUAUGAUAAUUUUGUGGUUAAAAAAACUUUUCACUAAGCGUAAAAUGGGUAACAUGAAG